rnacentral:rRNA from 1 species
UACAGAGGAUGCGAGCGUUAUCCGGAUUUAUUGGGUUUAAAGGGUGCGUAGGCGGAUCGUUAAGUCAGUGGUCAAAUUGAGGGGCUCAACCCCUUCCCGCCAUUGAAACUGGCGAUCUUGAGUGGAAGAGAAGUAUGCGGAAUGCGUGGUGUAGCGGUGAAAUGCAUAGAUAUCACGCAGAACCCCGAUUGCGAAGGCAGCAUGCCGGCUUCCGACUGACGCUGAAGCACGAAAGCGUGGGGAUCGAACAGG